AGAAAAGGCAAAAUUUUAAUACUUUGUUGAAGCAUAUUGGAAAUGUCUCUUCUAAAGGGCCACAUUCUCAGCCUCAGCUCCUUCAUCUCCCUCUGACUUCAAAGGAAUCUCUGCAUGAAGAAGGAGGGCGCACAAUAGAAGAAUUGGCCCGAUGAUUCCCUUCUGUUUGGAAAUGGGUGAAGAUUACAGAUACGUUUUACUUCUUCCUGUGCUUUGGACUAUAUAAUGUCAACUACCUCAAGCAAAACCCUCUACCCUGGCUAAUAUAUAGAUUUGGAUUAUACCAAAAUUGCCUAAAAUUGGAAACAAGACAUUAAUAAUAAUCUGUAAUGGUGUAACAUAAUAGAAUACAUGUUUAUUUUCAUUGGCUUUAGCUGGUAUUAAAAAAAGGUAAAUUAGUUUAGAGAUCCUGACCUUUCUGCUCAUCCUCCACCACUUUAUAUUAUGAAUGAGGUAAUUAAAAAGAGUCCACU
rnacentral:lncRNA from 1 species